GGGAAUGUGGCUUAGUGGUGCAGUGCUUGCCUUGCAUGCAUGAAGCCCUGGGUUCAAUUCCUCAGUACCA
rfam:Dipodomys ordii contig_10958, whole genome shotgun sequence.